rnacentral:rRNA from 1 species
UACGGAGGGGGCGAGCGUUAUUCGGAAUUAUUGGGCGUAAAGGGCGCGCAGGCGGCUGUGUAAGUCAAAGGUGAAAUCCCUCGGCUCAACUGAGGAACUGCCUUUGAAACUGCAUAGCUUGAGGCCGGGAGGGGGUGGCGGAAUUCCCAGUGUAGCGGUGAAAUGCGUAGAUAUUGGGAGGAACACCAGUGGCGAAGGCGGCCACCUGGACCGGUUCUGACGCUGAGGCGCGAAAGCGUGGGUAGCAAACAGG